AUGGUAAAAACAAAAUGACGGAAAACGCUAUAUAGUGACUGAGCUUCGCCUUGUCUCUCACUUUCUGCUUGAAGACCUGCCGCCAUGCUGAUGUUCGUUUUCUUCUGCUGCCUCCUCCUUUCGUUUGGAAGUGUGAGCACCUGGUAUACAGCGAGUUGUCAAGCUUACUCGGGAUAUUGUACAGUAGCACCCUGCCUUUCGUACAUGCGACAAAUAUUAAAAAGUGACUGUAGAAAAGGCCAAAUAUGCUGCUCAAUAAUAAUUUAAAUCAGAAUGCGAGAAGACAUUUAAGAGGUUGAGUAUAACCAGAACGAUGUCUUCCUCUCUGAGACUGUCUGUUCCUUUAUAACUGAGGACCCUUUCAAUCGCUUCACUUUUCGAUAUCUAUAAUAUAUCUUGGCGCUAUCAUACCUGUAAUCAGUCCUACUCCUGAGUAAAGAUACAAUUAAAAAAAAUGAAAUAAUAAUAAUAAAAACAUUUCUUCUA